GGGUGGAGGAGCAGUGACAGGAAUCGCUGGGUAGUGCCGGAGAGAGCAAGAGGCUACAGUGUUUUGGUCGGCGCUGGUCAGUUCUUCCCCACGCAUAAUGGUCAUAAGUGUUUCCGUAUUUCCGGCAGCUUCUCCCUGCACCAAGCACCACCACGCAGCACCAGAGAGCCAUGAGUACGUAAGGAUGGAGAGCUUAGGAUACCACACGGUUGGGGGUGAAAGAGCCUUGGGGAUACGUGAAGGAGGGAGGCCUGGAGGUGAAAGAAAUGCAAAAAAUUCCUCUAAUACUGAGCGCUUCUCUGGUCAUACCAAGCUUCAUUGAAUAUUUGGACCGAGGCUUCGAGAUACGAGAACCGCUGUCAUCCUGCCUACUUGUGGUGUGGCAACCUUGAUCAUCCCCCUCCCUCCUCCUCCAGCAAAGAAGAGACGUUUAAUCAGCUGGUGGAUAGGUUAGGGACGUCAGGGACGUGAGGGGUCUCCAGCAGCAUGCCAGGAGAUACUUGUGUGUGGACGAGGGACACAGACUCAAGAACCACAAGUGUAGGCUGACCAAGUCCCUGAACACCUUUCUCCUCAUGAACUGGCUCCUGCUGACCGGGACACCCUUGCAGAACAGCCUGGCAGAGCUCUGGUCCCCUCUGAACUUCCUGAUGCCUGAUAUUUUUGAUUCCCUCAAUGUGGGGGAGAUGCAGGAGGAGGGAAGUGACAAGAGGAUUUUCAGGCAGGAACGGGAGGGCCAGGUCAUCUCCACUCUAAUGAAGGCUUCUGAACACCAGCCAGCACACACACCCUUGCAACAACACUGCAAGACAGAGAGGAGUGAGGACUGAAGAUAGUAUAUACACCUCCUGUAACACUGAUACGACUGCAUGCCAUACACAUACUAGGCACACAGAAAAGACAGGGUUUUUCACAAGAAAUUACAUAAUAUUGAAUAAUGUUGAUUUAUUUACUGAUUUAUAUUAUCUUGACAUUCUGCAUUUCUUCUUAUAUGAAAUGGAAAAAAAAAAUUGUGAAAUUCUGCUUAAUGAUUAAAUGAUAAUAGUCUGGUUUUAUAUAUAAUAAGUUAUAUACCGUAGUUAUUACAAUCUUAACUUUUUGUAAAUGGUGCAGAAUUGGAAAAGUUGUUGGCAUUUUACUCAAGAUAAUGUGGCACAAACUUGUAAGAGAGAGAUAGAUGCCUGUAAAAUUGUCAUCAUAACGUCUGUGGCACUUUUAAAAACAAAUAAAAUGCAUUGCAAGAGUU